rnacentral:tRNA from 1 species
CUUAGCUUAGAUGUUAGAACAUCGCAUCUGUAAUGCGAUGGUCAUCGGUUCGAUUCCAAUAGCUGAGU